AUUGAACGCUGGCGGCAGGCCUAACACAUGCAAGUCGAGCGGAUGAAGGGAGCUUGCUCCUGGAUUCAGCGGCGGACGGGUGAGUAAUGCCUAGGAAUCUGCCUGGUAGUGGGGGAUAACGUCCGGAAACGGGCGCUAAUACCGCAUACGUCCUGAGGGAGAAAGUGGGGGAUCUUCGGACCUCACGCUAUCAGAUGAGCCUAGGUCGGAUUAGCUAGUUGGUGGGGUAAAGGCCUACCAAGGCGACGAUCCGUAACUGGUCUGAGAGGAUGAUCAGUCACACCGGAACGGAGGGCAGGUCCCGACUCCUUAGGGGAGGAACAGUUGGGAAUAAUUGGCAAUGGGCGAAAGCCUGAUCCAGCCAUGCCGCGUGUGUGAAGAAGGUCUUCGGAUUGUAAAGCACUUUAAGUUGGGAGGAAGGGCAGUAAGUUAAUACCUUGCUGUUUUGACGUUACCAACAGAAUAAGCACCGGCUAACUUCGUG
rnacentral:rRNA from 1 species